rnacentral:rRNA from 1 species
UACGUAGGGUGCAAGCGUUUGUCCGGAAUUAUUGGGCGUAAAGAGCUCGUAGGCGGUUUGUCGCGUCUGCUGUGAAAAUCCAGGGCUUAACCCUGGACCUGCAGUGGAUACUGGCGAGCUGGAGUGCGGUAGAGGAAGGUGGAAUUCCCGGUGUAGCGGUGAAAUGCGUAGAGAUCGGGAGGAACACCAGUGGCGAAGGCGGCCUUCUGGACCAGCACUGACACUCAAGCACGAAAGCGUGGGGAGCAAACAGG